GGUCCCCGCCUGCUCCCGCGGGCACCGGGGCGCCGCUGGGGCCGCAGUCCCGGCCACAGGCAGGCACGAGGGACGCGCAGGAGCUGCUCUGCCACGAAGCCCCGGGAGCUGUCGCCUGUCCUCCUGCCACCUCGGCCUGCAGGACACGCGGGAACACGUAAAUACACGGCAGUAGCUUCCCACAAGAAGACAUGAAAGCAUCAAGGAGAGGAGGUCACAGCCCUGUCCAAGCUGAAAGAGCUUGCCACUGCCAGACCAGUGUCAGGAACUGAGAACAGACACUCUAAAUAAUGAUGUUCACAUGAACACUCUUGACCAACCUCAGCUCUUUCUGAUCAUUCACAUACAAGGUCAAAGACAAUUUGAUGAAGUAUUUGAAGCACAAAG